GUCCUCCUGCCUCAGCCUCCCAAGCUGCUGGAAUUACAGGUGUGUGCCCGGGUCAUGGCAGCCCUUUUUUUGGGGGUGGGGGUUACUGCGGAUUGUACUCAGGGACACUCAACCACUGAGCCAUAUCCCCAGCCCUGUUUUGUGUUUUAUUUUGAGUUGCUUAAUGCCUCACAAUUGCUGAGGCUGGCUUUGAACUCACGACCCUUCUGCCUCAGCCUUCCAUGCAGCUGGGAUUACAGGCAUGUGCCCCCAUAUCUGGCCUUUUUUGUUUGUUUGUUUGUUUGUUUGUUUGUUUUAAUAUAUAUUUUUAGCUAUAGGUGGACACAAUACCCUUAUUUUAUUUUUAUGUGGUGCUGAGGAUUGAACCUAGUUCCUCCCGCAUGCUAGGCAAGUGCUCUACCCAGUUCCAUGGCUGCCCAUUUUUAAAGUGCUGUUUUUGCUAGGCAUGGUGUUACAGUAUCUCAGGAGACUAAGGUAGGAGGAUCAUGAG
rnacentral:lncRNA from 1 species